rnacentral:rRNA from 1 species
AUGGCGAACCCAUCCACGAGCUCGAGGCCGUCGUUCGCGGCUCCUAGUGGCACCAAGCUCAGCUGCCUCUGCUCGCCCACGAACCACCCGGGCUCCUUCCGCUGCACCCGCCACCGCAACCCGCGAGGGCGACCGCAGACGUCGUUGCCGUCGUCCUCCGGCCGCGCCUCGCAGCCUGCUGCGGCGCCGGGAGCCAGCGCGACGGUGCGCGUCGAGGGGAUCAUCAGGAGCGGUGGCGUCGGCGCGGGCGGACGGACCGGCAAUCUGCGCGCGCACCUGCUGCGGCUGGUCAGCCCGCCGUCCUCCGGCUGCAGCGACCACCGCCGCUGCCGCGACUUCAAGCCCCGCCCGUCCAGGCUGGGCCGCCUAGCCGUGACCGCUGGUGAACGGUGCGCCUCUAUUUCGCGCGCACCGACGCUUGGAUCCGUUUAUCUUGCAGAUACUAGCUCCGAGCCUAGGAUCGAGUACUACACUGGAAUCAAUGCUUUGUCACGCUGCAGAAAAAUGAAGGUAAUUAAGUUCACUCACGAGACGUCCAUGACUCUAAAACUAAUCGGACAGCAACGUUCUUUAUGUGUUGGUCGCGUGUGGAAGAAGCCUUUUCAGCUCAAUUUUGAGCAGCUCACACCCUCCUCGAAUCUCCUCUUUGCUCCUCUCACUGAAAAAACGGUUCAACGGGUGGCGAGAGACAAAAUUGACCCCCAUGCCGACUCCCCAAACUAUCACCGCUAUCGCUCCAAUCGCCAGGGCUUACCGCCUACCGUGGCAAGGUGGUGGGGUGUCGCCACAUCGGAGGUCAUCUCCAUCGAUUCAACAUCCUCAGACGACGACUUCGAGGACGAGCGGGAGGCGGCGCAGCUCACCGUGGCCAUGGCAAAGGAAGCCAAGGAAGAGAAAGAGAUGAGGACCGAGCGACGAAGGCGCGGAUCAUGGCAGAUCCCGCCGACGAAGUUGCUAGGACCGAUGCCGAAGAGGAGUUUAUGGCGGUCCAGCAAGCUUUCUAGCAGUCCAUCGCGAACGAGCGUGAGACGGAGGCCAACCAUCGGCUCUUGGCUGAGGGGCAUCGACACCGCGCAGUCUUCAAUGAGCUCGACGCCGACAAGGACUCACGAUCCUCCGUCGGCGGUCAUAAACCUCGACUCCUCCCCAGAUCAAAGCUCGGUUUAG